rnacentral:rRNA from 1 species
AUGUGUGCUGAAUACCUUCUCAGGCAGGCUGAAUUAGAGAUGGCAUACAUGGCUGAAGGAACUGCUACUGGAAAGAUGAAUUAUGUCACAUGGGAUGAUGAGAUGGGCAUUGCCAUGCUUGAGGUACUUGUUCAUCAUCACAACAUGGGUGACCAUUCACAAAAUGGAUGGAAAGCACAUGUGUACAUUGUAGCUAUCAAGAAUGUGAAGAAGAAGUGCAAUAAGGAUAUCGCGAAGGACAACAUAUUAGGAAGGCUUAGGACUUUUGACAAGCAAUUUGAAGUCAUUAACAAGAUCCUUUCUCAAAGCGGUUUUGGAUGGGAUUGGGUCAAUCAUAAGCUAUCCAUUGAUAGCGACGAUGUGUGGACUAAAUAUUUGGAGGCUAAUAAGAAAGAGAAAGCAUUAGCUUCCUACAAGACCAAAGUAGUGAAGCACUAG